rnacentral:rRNA from 1 species
GACGAACGCUGGCGGCGUGCUUAACACAUGCAAGUCGAACGAAGCGUGACUACGGAUUUUUCGGACGAAGUAUGAUAUGACUGAGUGGCGGACGGGGUAGUAACGCCUGAGUAAUCUGCUCUCUAGAGGGGGAUAGGGCUUGGAAACGAUCGGUAAUACCGCAUAAUGUAUUUUGAUCGCAUGAUUGAAAUACCAAAGAUUUAUUGCUGAAGGAUGGACUUGUGUGUGGUUAGGUAGUUGGCGGGGUAAUGGCCUACUAAGCCGACGGUCAGUGGCCGGAGUGGGAGGUUGGUCGGACAGGUUGGGAGUGAGACACGGCCCAGACUCCUACGGGAGGAAGGAGUGAGGAAUAUUGCACGAUGGAAGCAAGACGGAGGAAGCAACGCCGCGUGAAGGAAGACGGUUUUCGGAAUGUAGCCUUCUGUUCUUAGUGAGGAAUAGUGACGGUAACUAAGAAAGAAGCAACGGCUAACUACGUG